rnacentral:rRNA from 1 species
UACGAAGGGGGCUAGCGUUGUUCGGAUUUACUGGGCGUAAAGCGCGCGUAGGCGGACCUGCAAGUCGGGGGUGAAAGCCCGAGGCUCAACCUCGGGAACUGCCUUCGAUACUGCGGGUCUCGAGUCCGGGAGAGGUGAGUGGAAUUCCUAGUGUAGAGGUGAAAUUCGUAGAUAUUAGGAAGAACACCAGUGGCGGAAGGCGGCUCACUGGCCCGGUACUGACGCUGAGGAGCGAAAGGCG